UUCAUUCAUCAGUUCACAGUGGUAUAUCGUUGGGAAGUCUAUUUAACGCGGUUGUAGCGUAGUUUGCGGCGGAAUAAAUAACAAAAAUUCUGACAAGUGAAAAAUGUGUUACAGUCUAUUGUGAUUGUGUAUUAUUACAUUAAAAUUGUUAUAUUAUUUUUCUAACACUUAAAUAUUUUUACGUGAAACUUUCAAAAUGAGGUUAGCAGGAGCGAUUUUCACGAAUGUGACGAAAAUGCUUGAUUUCUACUCGCAGUUCAACCCUUCGCCGUUGUCCAUCAAACAAUUCAUUGACUUCGGUCUGAACGCUUGCGAGAGCAAAUCAUUCACGUUCCUAAAGAAGGAGCUACCAGUCAGGCUCGCGAACAUAAUGAAGGAGAUAGCGUUACUCCCUGAGAACCUACUUCGAAUGCCUUCGGUGGGUUUAGUCAACCAAUGGUACGAACGCUCAUUCGAGGAAAUAACACGCUUUGAACAGAUGGAACCAGAUCCUCCGACGCUGACCCAGUUCUGCGAACGUCUUGUCCACAUAAGGAACCGGCACGCUGACGUCGUUCAGACGAUGGCCCAGGGUGUGCUAGAGCUGAAAGAGUCUCACGAAGUUGAUCCCGGAACGGAGAACUCCAUACAAUACUUCCUGGACAGAUUCUACAUGAGUCGGAUAUCUAUUCGGAUGCUUAUUAACCAGCACACUCUGUUGUUUGGCGAGCAGCUUGGCGGCAAGCAGGCGUCGGUCAAUGGGAUCGGCAAUGGUGGCCGUCACAUCGGCUCCAUAGACCCGGCCUGCGACGUCGUGGCCGUCGUUAGAGACGCCUACGAGAACGCAAGGUUCCUCUGCGAUAGAUACUACCUAGCCUCACCAGAGUUGGAGGUACUGCAGGACGGAGUGUCGAGUCUGCGCCCGAUGCCCAUAGUGUAUGUGCCCUCGCACCUCUACCACAUGCUGUUUGAGCUAUUCAAGAAUGCCAUGAGGGCCGUCAUGGAGAACCACGGCACCGCCCCACCGCCGAUACAAGUUAACCUCGUCAACGGGAAAGAGGACAUAUCCGUUAAGAUGUCUGAUCGCGGCGGCGGCAUCCCGCGCAGCGUGUCGGAGCUUCUGUUCAAGUACAUGUACAGCACGGCGCCGCAGCCCUCCAAGUCCGACUCGCACACGGUGCCGCUAGCGGGUUACGGAUACGGGCUGCCCAUCUCUCGCCUGUACGCGCGGUACUUCCACGGCGACCUGGUGCUGGUAUCGUGCGAGGGUUACGGCACGGACGCCGUCAUCUACCUCAAGGCUCUAACGAACGAAGCCAACGAACUACUGCCGGUUUUCAAUAAGACGUCUUCGAAGUUCUACCGCCCCUCGUCCCAGCUGGCGGACUGGUCCGGCACCCUCAACUCCUCGAAUCAGUGCAGGAGGGAGAAAGUGUCUCCGCUCUCAUCACCGAUAUCGCACAGCCUAUAGUCCCCUAGGCUGGUAGUAGUCCGACCGGCGCCAUUCAGGUAUUCAGAUUUUACUGGUGGUAGGACCUCUUGUGAGUCCGCGCGGGUAGGUACCACCACCCUGCCUACUUCUGCCGUGAAGCAGUAAUGCGUUUCGGCUUGAAAGGCGGGGGCAGCCGUUGUAACUAUACUUGAGAGCUUAGAACUUAUAUCUCAUGGUGGGUGGGGCAUUUACGUCGUAGAUGUCUAUGGGCUUCAGUAACUACUUAACACCAGGUGGGCUGUGAGCUCGUCCACCCAUCUAAGCAAUCAAAAAAAAGGUACAACUUUCUGCAUCAUCAGAUCAUCAUCAAUGAUGCUAGUUCUGUUAGCUUGGCCUCUCCGAUGCUGACGUCACAGAGAUAGAGACAGCGAUAGUCGGUCGUCUCGCUCUAAAACUCGAGUCCACGAGGCGAGUCCGAACGACCUAACGAUUCGGUUUUAUUGCCCAACUCUGAAGAUCCUAUAUAGAACUUUGUUUGGGACAUUAUAGAUAUACACGUUUUUCGCUGUGUGUGUCUGUGUGGUGAUAUCGAAAAUUUCAUAUACCGCAUAUAUAAUGCCAAUAAUAAUGUCACUUAUGCAAAAUUUAUGUUCAAACUGAACUGAGUUUAAGAAAAUACAUUUUGUCUCAGUUAUUAGUGAGAGGUUUGCUUUUACUGAUGAAGUUUUAAAGUUGUAGUUUUUAUAUUAUAAUAAUUUCAUUUCAUUAGUCGAGAAGAACUAUUUAAUUGUAAUAAGAUGUUCAAUUUUCAAAGGGCUCUCUUGAAAAAAAAAUACAUAAUUUGCAUAAGUGACGAUGUAGCAACGACUGUGGGAUAUGGUUAAGGGAAGCUGUACCGGGACUGUUUCUUUAAAAUUUAAAAAAAGUGUUUGCCGAAAAAUCGUUGUCGAUGGUUCGUGUUUGACAGCUUUGACGUUUGUCAAAGUAUUUGUUAAUUUUUUUUCUAAGUUGACAAAGCGAAGCUUAAAUAUAAGGGGAAGUUUAAAAAUGUUUCUGAAUAGUUUGGUCAUUAACUAUUGUGUACAAAAUAAAGUAGUCUAGAUAAUAUAUAAUUAAAAAAAAACUAGGAAUAGAUGUAUUUUACGUCAGCAUUAGGAUCACAAGGUCGAGUCAGUUAUUAUACGCGAUUCAAAUCUCGCACGGAUGGGUAGACAGGUGGUGUGAAGUCGAUGCCCCAGUCCAUAUACGUCACGACGCGAACGACCCAACAUUGAGACGUGAGGUCGAACCAAAAGCACGUCAAGUUAGGCAGUUAGGCAAGUUAAGCAGUUUCUUUGACAUCUGUCAAAUAUGACAGAAGCCGGAAUCUCGCAUUUCUUACGUCGAUUCCUACAAAAAAACAAUUAAACAAUCAAAAAAUCAUAUUGUUUUAAGUAGUAGUAGUUUUAUUUUUCCAACUGGAAAGGCAAAGGCGUCACACCAUACAGCCUAAUCUUUUAUAUUUAAGUGUAUUUAUAUGAUAAAUGUUUCAUGGCAUGAAAUGAAAUGAGAUGAUAUGGGAUUAAAUAUAAUCUCAGUAAAAUGGUGUUCAUUAACUGAGACUUUCUCAGUGAACUUUUUGGAGGAUCCCGAGGAGUUACGUCAAGCGGCUUUGUUACAUUUUCCCACACGCGAUAUUUUAAUACGAUCUCGUCAAAUUGACAUCUCGUAUCGACCUUGUGCCUCUAACGUUGACAAUUAAUUAUUAAAAGUUAUUAUUUAAUUAAAAUUCGAUUGUGAUAUUCGUUUUAAAACGACCAUUCGGUUCUAACUUUUAUUAUAAUUUCUAUAUCGUUUCAACCUCUCAGACUGGACUAACAUUAAAUUGUCAUUACCAGAGGUCCCGCAGUAGUCGAAAUCCGACUAUAAUUAAUUGGAAUCGUAAGUUUGUACACUAUUAUGAUUGUAUUUUAUACUUCUAUAAUCACAAAUUUCGCCAAGGCUACACUAUAGAAAAAUAUUAAUACAGACAAACAAUAUUUAAUCUAUUCUCAAUUUGACCACCGACGUCAAAAACAAAAGUUUGACAAUAAAUAGUAUGCAUGCGUGUGUGCGUCAAAUACAUGGUAUGUAGUGUGUGUAAUGUUUUCUUUAUUGAUUUAAUGUAUCUUUUAUGCACUAUUUAAAAAAAAUACUAGCAUUGUGCACUUCUCGAUAUUCUCUAUAAGUGUGGAAAAUUUCAUAUUCCUCCGUCCGCGCAAUUUUCGUAAAAAGGGAUACAAAGUUUUUGCUUCACGUAUUAAUAUAUAGAUAAACGAUAAGAUAUCGAGAGGUGAAAGGUUAUUUAGUUUAAGCGACAUUUCGCUUAACACGCGACAUUUUUCUUUGUAAUUUUGAUAUCAGCAUCAACAGUUCGAUGUUUUUAAUUGAACUUCAAUUAAGCUUACUCCGUUCAAAUAGCUAAAGAAGAAGCUUUUGUUACGAUAUCUUUUCAAAUUUUAAACUUACAAUGGCUCUCCUGUAGAGAUGCAAAAUUGUGACUUAAAAUGUCGCGUAUUUACGCAAAUUAUAAUUUUGCGGGUAUUUUUUUUAUUACACGAUGUUAUUCCUUCACCGUGGAAGUCAAUCGUGAACAUUUGUUGAGUACGUAUUUCGUUAGAAAAAUUGGUACCCGCCUGCGGGAUUCGAACACCGGUGCAUCGUUACAUACUAAUGUACCGGACGUCUUAUCUUUUAGGCCACGACGACUUCAAACAUAAUCAUCUUAAUAUAAAUGAAAUUGCUAGUGUAACACGAGGACAUUGAACCCACGCUUCAUCUGUUUGUCUUUCAUUGCGCGCUGCUCAAGAGGCAUUAGAAAAAAAUUAUCGAUACAUUGCUUCAUUGAAUCGCGAAUCAACACUAUGUUUUAUUUUAUAGAAAACAGUUCAUAUAUGAAAAGUUAAAAAAAAUAAAAGUUAAUGACAUAUUCGUAUGACAGUGAAAUCAAAUUAAUUCUGAGAGGUUGAAAUUAGUUCGGCAAAGAUAUUAUGUUUAAUUUUAAGUAUAAUCAUAUAUAAUGAUUUUAUUAUACAAAUAUACGUAUAGAUACUAGCAGACCUGUCAGAUAUUGUUCAACCUAUAAGAGAAUGAAACAAAAAUCCUGGAUACAAUGUUUAUCGAUACUAUAAAAAAAUGUACUUUUCAAUAUAAAUAUACACAUUAUCAAUAACGAAAUUAUUACUUACACAUCUUAACUUUAUAUAUCGACGCUUGAAAGGCAAACGUGACUAAGCGACAAUGCGUAAACUUUACAGUAGACUAAUUUAAAGUUAAAAUACAUGAAAAAAAAUUAUAUUUUAACGAAUCUACGGUAGGCAGCGGCUUGGCUCUGCCCUUGGCAUUGCUGAAGUCCAUGGGCGACGGUAACCACUCACCAUCAGGUGGGCCAUAUGCUCGUCUGCCUACAAAGGCAAUAAAAAAAAAAAAAAAAAAACUAGCUGUAGGAUUUAAAUGAUUUUAACAGACCUAGAAAUAUAUUUUUUUGCGCAUCGAAUAUGGUUAUUGCCUAUAAUUUAUGUACAAAGCAGUUAUUGUCGCUUAGUCACGUUUGCCUUUCAAGCGUCGAUAUGUACUUUACAUAAAUAUAUUUUUUAGUUUCUAUAAAAUAAACGUUUUGACUAUAGACUGAUAUUGACUAUAUGAUAUCGAGCGAUGAAAGGGAUAUAAUUUGUUUUAAGCAAUAUUCGCUUGACACGCGAUAUUUAUCUUUGUAAUGAAAGGUCCGUUUUAUUUAAUAUCAGCAUCAGCAGUCCAUUGUUUUUAAUUGAACUUUUAUUAAGUUCACCCCAUUCAAGUAACUGAAGAAGUUUUUUUUUUUUGUUUCAAAUAAUAUUUUUUUCCAAAUUUUAAACUUUAAAUGGCUCUCUCAUGUAAACACAAAAUAUUACUGACACUUUAAGGCUAUUUAGCUUUUCACUCCUCGAUAUGGUAUUGACUUAUGAUAUUGAGUUUGAUAAUACUUCAAAAAGACCCGUAACUUAAUAUGACGUAUCUGACUUAUCUGACUGCAUCUAUGAGUUUUAUAUGAAAAAUUAAAUUAUAUUCAAAGUAAAGAAUUAAAAAAUAAAUACACUUUUCGAAUAUUUCGCAAGAACAUCACGAAUUAACUUAUUUACAAAAAAAUGCAUACUUAAAUUAGUUUAAUUAGUGCAUGUGUUUUAUCAGUUAUUCUCAAUCAGAGCUGUGUCCCUCGCCAUUAAUGUGAGCCAUGUCAUUUUGUAAUUGUAUAGGUAUUACUGAACUCCAGGGGCGAUGUCUAAGACUCGAUAAAACCGAAGUAAUAUCCACAUUUUUAUAUUAAAAUGAAAAAACAUCAAAUUGUAAUUGAAAAUUAAUGGAAAAUGAACAUAAAAGUAAAGAAACAAAUAUAAUAACCAAAAUAUAUUAUUAAAAUGAGUCCCUUUGAGUACUAAAAAACUAAAAACAGUAAAAGUUUAUUUUUGUGUGAUGUAAAACGCGAUGAGAAAGUUUGAGAAUCACUGAUUUAAAUAUACUAAUUAAAUUUUAUAUUGGAUUUAUUCAGUGGCCACGAUAUAUGUGGGACUGAAUUCAAACCGUACUGAAACGAUAAGGCUAUAUUCACUCAUACUCAAACAAUUGCAGCUCAGAAUGUACCCUAAUUAAUUAUUAAGUACUUUUGCAUUUUAUAUUACUUUUGGUUUUUUUUUAUUUUUUAUUAAUAAUGAAUUAAUUCCAGAAGCUUGUGUAAUAUUUAGUUUGUAUGUUUAGUUGUUAAGGAUAAAGAAGAUAUAAUUUUAUAAAUAAAAAUUUUAAAGGAA